GGGUUGUGAGGUUAAGCGACUAAGCGUACACGGUGGAUGCCCUGGCAGUCAGAGGCGAUGAAGGACGUGCUAAUCUGCGAUAAGCGCCGGUAAGGUGAUAUGAACCGUUAUAACCGGCGAUUUCCGAAUGGGGAAACCCAGUGUGAUUCGUCACACUAUCAUUAACUGAAUCCAUAGGUUAAUGAGGCGAACCGGGGGAACUGAAACAUCUAAGUACCCCGAGGAAAAGAAAUCAACCGAGAUUCCCCCAGUAGCGGCGAGCGAACGGGGAGGAGCCCAGAGCCUGAAUCAGCAUGUGUGUUAGUGGAAGCGUCUGGAAAGGCGCGCGAUACAGGGUGACAGCCCCGUACACAAAAGCGCAUGUGCUGUGAGCUCGAUGAGUAGGGCGGGACACGUGGUAUCCUGUCUGAAUAUGGGGGGACCAUCCUCCAAGGCUAAAUACUCCUGACUGACCGAUAGUGAACCAGUACCGUGAGGGAAAGGCGAAAAGAACCCCGGCGAGGGGAGUGAAAAAGAACCUGAAACCGUGUACGUACAAGCAGUGGGAGCACCCUUCGGGGUGUGACUGCGUACCUUUUGUAUAAUGGGUCAGCGACUUAUAUUCUGUAGCAAGGUUAACCGUAUAGGGGAGCCGGAGGGAAACCGAGUCUUAAUUGGGCGUUAAGUUGCAGGGUAUAGACCCGAAACCCGGUGAUCUAGCCAUGGGCAGGUUGAAGGUUGGGUAACACUAACUGGAGGACCGAACCGACUAAUGUUGAAAAAUUAGCGGAUGACCUGUGGCUGGGGGUGAAAGGCCAAUCAAACCGGGAGAUAGCUGGUUCUCCCCGAAAGCUAUUUAGGUAGCGCCUCGUGAAUUCAUCUCCGGGGGUAGAGCACUGUUUCGGCUAGGGGGCCAUCCCGGCUUACCAACCCGAUGCAAACUGCGAAUACCGGAGAAUGUUAUCACGGGAGACACACGGCGGGUGCUAACGUCCGUCGUGAAGAGGGAAACAACCCAGACCGCCAGCUAAGGUCCCAAAGUCAUGGUUAAGUGGGAAACGAUGUGGGAAGGCCCAGACAGCCAGGAUGUUGGCUUAGAAGCAGCCAUCAUUUAAAGAAAGCGUAAUAGCUCACUGGUCGAGUCGGCCUGCGCGGAAGAUGUAACGGGGCUAAACCAUGCACCGAAGCUGCGGCAGCGAACGUAUCACCCAAGACAACUUUACGGAGUUGACGAUUGACGGAGCGAAGCGACGUCAAAGCGUUCAUUAAAGUCGAGUUGGCUUAGGGAUACGUUCGUUGGGUAGGGGAGCGUUCUGUAAGCCUGUGAAGGUGUGUCGUGAGGCAUGCUGGAGGUAUCAGAAGUGCGAAUGCUGACAUAAGUAACGAUAAAGCGGGUGAAAAGCCCGCUCGCCGGAAGACCAAGGGUUCCUGUCCAACGUUAAUCGGGGCAGGGUGAGUCGACCCCUAAGGCGAGGCCGAAAGGCGUAGUCGAUGGGAAACGGGUUAAUAUUCCCGUACUUGGUGUUACUGCGAAGGGGGGACGGAGAAGGCUAUGUUGGCCGGGCGACGGUUGUCCCGGUUUAAGCGUGUAGGUGUGUGUUCCAGGUAAAUCCGGUUCACUUUAACACUGAGGCGUGACGACGAGGCACUACGGUGCUGAAGCAACAAAUGCCCUGCUUCCAGGAAAAGCCUCUAAGCAUCAGGUAACACGAAAUCGUACCCCAAACCGACACAGGUGGUCAGGUAGAGAAUACCAAGGCGCUUGAGAGAACUCGGGUGAAGGAACUAGGCAAAAUGGUGCCGUAACUUCGGGAGAAGGCACGCUGACACGUAGGUGAAGUGAUUUACUCACGGAGCUGAAGUCAGUCGAAGAUACCAGCUGGCUGCAACUGUUUAUUAAAAACACAGCACUGUGCAAACACGAAAGUGGACGUAUACGGUGUGACGCCUGCCCGGUGCCGGAAGGUUAAUUGAUGGGGUCAGCGCAAGCGAAGCUCCUGAUCGAAGCCCCGGUAAACGGCGGCCGUAACUAUAACGGUCCUAAGGUAGCGAAAUUCCUUGUCGGGUAAGUUCCGACCUGCACGAAUGGCGUAAUGAUGGCCAGGCUGUCUCCACCCGAGACUCAGUGAAAUUGAACUCGCUGUGAAGAUGCAGUGUACCCGCGGCAAGACGGAAAGACCCCGUGAACCUUUACUAUAGCUUGACACUGAACAUUGAGCCUUGAUGUGUAGGAUAGGUGGGAGGCUUUGAAGUGUGGACGCCAGUCUGCAUGGAGCCGACCUUGAAAUACCACCCUUUAAUGUUUGAUGUUCUAACGUGGACCCGUAAUCCGGGUUGCGGACAGUGUCUGGUGGGUAGUUUGACUGGGGCGGUCUCCUCCUAAAGAGUAACGGAGGAGCACGAAGGUUGGCUAAUCCUGGUCGGACAUCAGGAGGUUAGUGCAAUGGCAUAAGCCAGCUUGACUGCGAGCGUGACGGCGCGAGCAGGUGCGAAAGCAGGUCAUAGUGAUCCGGUGGUUCUGAAUGGAAGGGCCAUCGCUCAACGGAUAAAAGGUACUCCGGGGAUAACAGGCUGAUACCGCCCAAGAGUUCAUAUCGACGGCGGUGUUUGGCACCUCGAUGUCGGCUCAUCACAUCCUGGGGCUGAAGUAGGUCCCAAGGGUAUGGCUGUUCGCCAUUUAAAGUGGUACGCGAGCUGGGUUUAGAACGUCGUGAGACAGUUCGGUCCCUAUCUGCCGUGGGCGCUGGAGAACUGAGGGGGGCUGCUCCUAGUACGAGAGGACCGGAGUGGACGCAUCACUGGUGUUCGGGUUGUCAUGCCAAUGGCACUGCCCGGUAGCUAAAUGCGGAAGAGAUAAGUGCUGAAAGCAUCUAAGCACGAAACUUGCCCCGAGAUGAGUUCUCCCUGAGACUUUAGGUCUCCUGAAGGAACGUUGAAGACGACGACGUUGAUAGGCCGGGUGUGUAAGCGCAGCGAUGCGUUGAGCUAACCGGUACUAAUGAACCGUGAGGCUUAACCUUACAACGCCGAAG
rnacentral:rRNA from 1 species